UACGUAGGGUGCAAGCGUUGUCCGGAAUUAUUGGGCGUAAAGAGCUCGUAGGCGGUCUGUCGCGUCGGAUGUGAAAACUCGGGGCUCAACCCCGGGCCUGCAUUCGAUACGGGCAGACUAGAGUUCGGCAGGGGAGACUGGAAUUCCUGGUGUAGCGGUGAAAUGCGCAGAUAUCAGGAGGAACACCGGUGGCGAAGGCGGCUCACUGGCCCGGUACUGACGCUGAGGCACGAAAGCGUGGGGAGCAAACAGG
rnacentral:rRNA from 1 species